rnacentral:lncRNA from 1 species
AGUAGAGAUGGGCAUCGAGGCGGGCUGCGGCUUCCGCCAAUUCCCGAGCACUGCACGAGGGUGUGGGCACCUCAAAGGUUUCGUGGAAGCUGGCGUAGUCCACCUCAUAGAACCCAUCCUCCAGGGUGAGCACGGAUGUGAACCGGUGGCCCCACAACACUUCAUCCACCAGAGCCCGCCUCCACCCACCCCCAAGCAUUCCCAGACAAUGGGCAACUAGCUCUAGCAACUGAUUACACCCCAGGAUUGAAAGCUCACCAUCUCAUUAAAAGUCCAGUCCUUUGUGCGAUGGUGCCAAUAGUCUUUACAAAUGUGUUUUUACACUCCUGUGUCUAUAUGCGUGCAUGUGUACGUGUGUGGAGGUCAGAGGACAACUUGGGGAGAGAGCUGACUCCCCAGUGUGAGACCUGGUAAUUCAACUCAGGUCGGUCUUCAGGCGUCAGGCACGGU